GAUGAACGCUGGCGGCGUGCCUAAUACAUGCAAGUCGAGCGAACAGACGAGGAGCUUGCUCCUCUGACGUUAGCGGCGGACGGGUGAGUAACACGUGGAUAACCUACCUAUAAGACUGGGAUAACUUCGGGAAACCGGAGCUAAUACCGGAUAAUAUAUUGAACCGCAUGGUUCAAUAGUGAAAGACGGUUUUGCUGUCACUUAUAGAUGGAUCCGCGCCGCAUUAGCUAGUUGGUAAGGUAACGGCUUACCAAGGCGACGAUGCGUAGCCGACCUGAGAGGGUGAUCGGCCACACUGGAACUGAGACACGGUCCAGACUCCUACGGGAGGCAGCAGUAGGGAAUCUUCCGCAAUGGGCGAAAGCCUGACGGAGCAACGCCGCGUGAGUGAUGAAGGUCUUCGGAUCGUAAAACACUGUUAUUAGGGAAGAACAAAUGUGUAAGUAACUAUGCACGUCUUGACGGUACCUAAUCAGAAAGCCACGGCUAACUACGUG
rnacentral:rRNA from 1 species